GGGACCGUGCCAGGUGGGCAGUUUGACUGGGGCGGUCGCCUCCAAAAGAGUAACGGAGGCGCCCAAAGGUUCCCUCAGACUGAAUGGAAACCAGUCGAAGAGUGUAAAGGCAUAAGGGAGCUUGACUGCAAGACCAACGCGUCGAGCAGAGACGAAAGUCGGGCUUAGUGAUCCCACGGUACUGAGUGGAAGGGCCGUGGCUUACCGGAUAAAAGCUACCCCGGGGAUAACAGGCUGGUGAGGUCCAAGAGUUCACAUCGACGACCUCGCUCGGCACCUCGAUGUCGGCUCAUCACAUCCUGGGGCUGGACAAGGUCCCAAGGGUCGGGCUGUUCGCCCGUUAAAGUGGUACGCGAGCUGGGUUCAGACCGUCGUGAGACAGGUCGGUCUCUAUCCGCUGUGGGCGCAAGGAGUUUGCGAGGAGCUGUCCCUAGUACGAGAGGACCGGGAUGGACAGACCUCUGGUGUGUCAGUUGUCGUGCCAACGGCAUUGCUGAGUAGCUAUGUCUGGCAGGGAUAACCGCUGAAAGCAUCUAAGCGGGAAGCUCGCCUCAAGAUAAGACUCCUGUAAUCCUGAAAGGGAGUAAGAUCGCAGGAAGACUACCUGCUUGAUAGGCGACGUGUGUAAGUGCAGUAAUGCAUUGAGCUAAGUCGUACUAAUGAUCGAGGGCUUACGAUA
rnacentral:rRNA from 1 species